rnacentral:rRNA from 1 species
UACGUAGGGCGCAAGCGUUGUCCGGAAUUAUUGGGCGUAAAGAGCUCGUAGGCGGCGUGUCACGUCGGAUGUGAAAGCCCGGGGCUUAACCCCGGGUCUGCAUUCGAUACGGGCAUGCUGGAGUUCGGUAGGGGAGAUCGGAAUUCCUGGUGUAGCGGUGAAAUGCGCAGAUAUCAGGAGGAACACCGGUGGCGAAGGCGGGUCUCUGGGCCGAUACUGACGCUGAGGAGCGAAAGCGUGGGGAGCAAACAGG